rnacentral:lncRNA from 1 species
UUUGGAAGAAAAGCAAAAUAAAGAAAAAAAAAAGGCAGACUGGAGCCAGAAUGCCUGAGUUUGAAUCCACUUCAUGGCUGCAUGAAUUUUUUUUUUUUUUUUGAGACAGAGUCUCGCUCUGUUGCCCAGGCUGGAGUGCAGUGGCACAAUCAUAGCCCACUGCAACCUCAACCUCCUGGGCCCAAGCAGUCCGCCCAUCUCAGCAUCCCAAAGUGCUGGGAUUACAAGUAUGAGCCACCGCACCCGGCCAGCAAAUACUAAAUAAAUGUUAGCUGUUUAUUAUUUUUUUCUAAUACUUAUGCCCAUACAAUCAGCUUAUAACCUCCAUAGACCCUCACAGACUAUUCAGCAGAUUAGGAAGGAGGCCCCCUCCCCGUGGAGUAGGCCAGUUAUGAUUUCUCUCUCCUCUUUCCAGGUAUCCCCAUUUGACAGAUGGGACAACUGAGGCCCAGAGAGGUUGCUCAACUUGCUCAGGAUUGCCAAGUUUUAGCAAUUCAAGGUCUAUGCCUGCCCCAAACAAGAAGGUAGCCUGGCUGCAGGUUUCUGGGCAAAGAAAGUCAAUACUGGGAGUUACCUUUCCUCUUCGGCAGCUGCAGGAGGUUAUUCCAGAGGCCAGGGAACCACUUUAUAGCCCUCCAGGGAGAUGUGGGGGGUCUUGCUCCAUUCCCAAGCCUAAAGUGCAGUGGCACGAUCUGCAGGAUCACUGCAGCCUCAACCUCACAGACUCAAGCUAUCCUCCUGCCUUAGUGCCUGGCCUGCGGAUCAUCCAAACUCAAGCCACAUCGAGAGGCAGGUGUGUGUGCGGGGGAAGGGCAGGGAAAGAACAUCACCCACCGACCAUGCUGUGCUCCUCCGUGAUGCCCUGAAGUCCUCCUG